CCUACGUGAGUCAGCAGUGAGGAAUAUUGGUCAAUGGCCGUAAGGCUGAACCAGCCAAGUAGCGUGAGGGAAGACUGCCCUAUGGGUUGUAAACCUCUUUUAUGCGGGGAUAAAGGUGUCCACGUGUGGAUGUUUGCAGGUACCGCAUGAAUAAGGACCGGCUAAUUCCGUGCCCGCAGCCGCGGUAAUACGGAGGGUCCGGGCGUUAUCCGGCUUUAUUGGGUUUAAAGGGAGCGUAGGCCGGUCUUUAAGCGUGCCGUGAAAUUUUGUGGCUCAACCAGGAGAGUGCGGCGCGAACUGGAGACCGUGAGUGCGCGGAAGGCAGGCGGAAUGCGUGGUGUAGCGGUGAAAUGCUUAGAGAUCACGAAGAACCCCGAUUGCGAAGGCAGCCUGCCGCAGCGUUACUGACGCGGAAGCUCGAAAGCGCGGGUAUCGAACAGGAUUAGAUACCCCUGUAGUC
rnacentral:rRNA from 1 species